UCUGGCCUUUUCUCCACAUUCACCAAGUGGGAGAAACGGUUGAGAGCAGAAGGCAGUUUAACUUUGACAGCCCAAUGAGAGAAUCAGCUAAGAGCUAUUCCAAGGACCAUGUUUUCCAGAACGGAUUAUAUAUUGAAUCAAUGAAGGUGUUUCUCUCCGAGCAGACAGCUCAUCUCCAAGAGCUUCACAGGAAUCUUCUCCUGGUAUUUACACAGAUGGGAGAGGCGGCUCUUCUUGCCCUCCCUGCCUGAUCAUUCGGUCUUCCUCUCCCCAGCCUCUCCUGGCGGUGCACAGCUGGGAAUGAAUGGGAGAUUUCAGCCAGCUCUCCCGGUCAAGCAUCCAACCCUUCCACUCAGAGCCUGGAGUCUUUACUGGAGAAAGGUAUGGAGAGCUUACUUCAGUGUGAGUCCCAUGCAGGCUAAAUCAGAACAUGAUGGCUUCAAAUUGCAUAUCUAGCAGGCUUCAAGGCAGAGUUGGUUCAGCUGAUCUAACCAGAUGAGAGGAUGUUCUAGAUUCACAAUGAAGCCUGGGAAUGGGGUGCAAAGAGAGCAGACAUGAAAUCGUUUACCAUUUAGACCGUCUGGGCACAGAGCAGGCAAGGUGACUUCUGCCAGCCCAGAGGCCUGAGGACUCCGACAGUGCUGCCAGGUGGCAUGUGGGGCCUCACAGCCCUUGUUGGAGAGGCCCAGCGAGCCGACCCCCGACCCCCGCCGCGAUGUUUACCGCAGCAGGACCGAAUGACCCAGUUUCCCCAGCGGGACAGCACAGCGCGGCCCGCACGGGAUCCGGCAUCCGCGUGUCUCUUCUGCCCCCUGCCGGCCGCAGUCAGUAGGCUCACCAGUUCCCGCAAUCCCAGGCGGGGUCCGCUGCGGGAAUUGCCUCUCAGGCCUGUAAAUGUUUGCAGAUGGAACUGAAUGAGUGAAUGUGUACAGUUCUUGGCUCUGGGACCUACAGCAGCCAAAGAAACAGGAACUAAAAAAUUUCGGGAAAAUCAUGAAUUCAGCCGAACUGGGCCUGGGCUCGCAGCCCGCCUAGGCUUUGCAGCCCUCCAGGGCUUGCUGCAUGCCCCUCCUGAGCCCUCCCUCACAGCCCGUUGCAUUCCUAGGAUGAACUAGACUUUUCCAGGCCCUGGUCAACUAGUUACACUUUCCUCCUUACACUUUCUGUGUUCCCACUGAGUGGCCCCAAGUCUCUGCUUGAUUGCCUCCAGUGACAGGGCCCUCACUUUCUGUCAGAGUAGGUUCCACUUUCUGAGGGAAAAGAAUAAGAACAUUCAUAAGAGUGCUCUUUUUCUUCUUGGAACCAAAUAUGUCACUUAACACUUCCACUCAGAAAUCUGCUAUGUUGACCCUGUGACAACCUUUCAGCUCCUUUAAGACAAGAGUCAUUCUUGAGACUUCUGUACCUCCAAAUAGAUGAGAUUUAUCUCUACAGAGGGAUCUGGAGAACCAAAGAGGUCUGGGAGAAUCAUAUAAUGAUCCAGCAGUGGUGGAAUUCUGAAAGGUGAAGUUCUCAUUAGUGCAAAGACCUUCUGAAAAGCAGCCGUGUGCAUACUCAUGGGAAGAGCCCUAACUGCUAGGAUGGGGGGAUUCUUUAAUUGCUAUUUACAAUGUUUUCAAUUUAGAAUUUACAAAGCUCUUUCAUAGGUAUUAUCUCAGCAAGUCAAGCUAUUUUCAUACUAAUCUUAGGGACGAGGAAAUUGAAGCCUCAGAGAGGAAAAUAUAUCACUUGUGAUUAGACAGGAAGUAAAAGGUAGCUGGCACCAAAACCUGAUCUUCUAAUCCCAAGGCUGCCAUUCUCACUACAAAAACAUUGACGCUUCUGCGUCUUGAGAAUGUAAAAACACAGAAAAAAAUAAAACAAAACAAGGUAGAGAGAAAGUAUUGAGCACUUGCUAUAUGCCAGACACUGUUCUAUGGGCUCACUAUGUUUUAACUUAGAGUUCAAAACAACAACCCAAAGUAUGUGCUAUUGUUAUUCUUGCCAUUUAUUUUUCAGGGUUAGUAAAUAAAGAGUCCAUCCAGCACAGUAACCCAUGCAGUCCAGUCCAGAGCCCACGGUUCCCAGUGCUUGUUUGAGUCUGUGCACACAUCUUUGCUGGUCUCUCUCACUUACCUACCAAUGACCCUGAGGAGGAAGUUAAAGGAGAGCUCUCCCAGGUGAGAGUAGGAGACUCUCCCUCAAAGACCUGCUGGUGUGAUGGUCGAGGGCCUAGAGGCUGGCUCAAAUCCUGGCUCUGCCACUAUAUGGUUGAGUGACCAUGGACAAGAUCUUCAACCUCUUUUUCCCCCUUGGAGAAACCUCAUUGGGUUUCUAUGGGUUAUGAAUUAAUAUUUUUGAAAAACUUAGAGAAGUGAAUAUUUACAAUUAAAUCUGGACUCCUGUCUGUUGCAGGUAACUGGGGGAAACACUGGAGUGUGGGUUAAAGCAAGGGCCAUAACCAGUGGACACAUAAAGAAUGAAUCUUGGAGCCUAGGAAGAGGAGGGCCAGGCAGGGGUGGAGGAGAAAGGAAUGAAGAAAGGACUUGAAUGACUUUUGGUGAGAUCUGAAUUAUUUGUGGAGUCACAGUUUCUCUGAAUUAGAAAGAUCUUUCUGGAGAGUCUAAUGUAACCAGGCAGGUGAGCAAGGAAGAACCUGUGCCAGAGGCCUCAGGAGACCAAGAAUCCCCUGCUUUCCAAGACCUGGGGCACACUGUAUUAAAAUGAAUAACACUUAUAAUGGGGUGUUGGGGAAGGUUCUCUGGCCCCUUGAGGAAAUUCCACAGCAGGAGUAUAGGGCCCAGAAGCCUCUACACCUGGCUUCCAUUUGAUUUUAUGUUUUCUUCCCAGGGAUAAUACAAAUUUGCAGCAUAACUGAGUCCCAAACUAAUAGUGCACUUGUUACCGCUGUUGUCCUUGCUUCCCCAAUGUUGAAGAAUAACACCAAAGAAGCACGCCGAGGCAAGGUCAGAGUAGAAAUUAGAAGUUUAUUAAAGGACAGCAGAAAAGACUUCUCGGGAGGAAGAAGGGGACCCAAGAGGUGGAAUCCGUGGAAGUGCUGUUGUCUCCCCUUUUUAUAGUUUUGGUGAUGGAAUGUAAGGGGGAAGGGUUGGGACACAGGUGGGCCAAAGAAGUAAUCUGGGCAGGAAGGACUUCAUUAACACUUCUUUGGGAUGGGCUAUCUCCAAAUCUGUUGGGGGCUGUUUCCUGGGUUCCAUUAACAUUUCUUUGGGGUGGACUUUGGCCUAGGGCCUUUCCGGGACUUCAUUAACAUUCCCUGAGUUGUCCUGCGUUUCUGGAAUCAUUAUCAGCAUGGCCUCCAUUUUAGAUUUCACUCGAUAUGAUAUUAGACCCGAUUUACCUAACUACACUGACUACCUAACUUUAAAUCUGGCUUCACACUGAUAAGAAUAACCCAUAUAUAUAAGGGAUUCCCAUGUGCUAGACGUGGUUCUGAACACUUGUGUUAACUUAUUCAGUUUUUUUUUUUUAAUCAUUGCUUUGUCAUUUGUAUUAUCCCCUGUUGAGAGCCACAGUUUAGUCGGAAUGACCCCUGGCAUUUUGCUAGAGGGAAUGGUUGAAAGGUGACCCUGCUCCAGGAUUAGGGCGGAUCCUGCUGCCUAGGGCGCCGCCUGCCCGCUACUUUGGAGUUCCUGUUGAGUUCUCGCGGGGUUCCGGGAGAAUUGGUGCGCGGAGCCCGGUGGAGUGUGUGUGUUCCUGGGAAGUGUGUGUAGAGUGCCAGAGAGAGUUCAGGAAUAAAAAAAGAGUUGCUUUUUGAACCUACAAGGCUUUGUGGCGGCUUGGUUAUUUGUGCCCAGCCAGACUGCGGCAAUCCCCCUUUACCCAGAAAGAAAUAUAUACACCAAGGUUCUAGCACUUAAAACUACCACCAUGUGGUGAGUUAUCCAAAUCACAUGACGAGAAUCAGUCCAUCUGACUCCAGGACUGGUGUUCUUAACCACAGCAGAAAUCCAUUCAUUGUCCUCAUUUCAAAAAUGAUUGAAAUCACCAACUGUGGUGGCUCAUGUCUGUAAAAUCCAGCAACUCAGGAGGCUGAGGCAUUUCGAGGCCAGCCUCAGCAAUUUAGUGAGACCCUGACUCAAAAUAAAAAAGGCUGGGGAUGUGGGGAUGUUGCUCAAUGGUAGCGUGCCCCUGGGUCCAAUCUCCAAUUAAAAACAAGAAGAACAAAAGAAAUGGUAUAUUGAAAAAUAUUGUCUGAAGAUUUAGCUGGAUUUUUAAAUGUUUCAGAAAUGCAUCUUUCUCUUAUAGCUUGUGACAGCAUUUUCUCUGGGGAAAAAAAAAUGGCUCCAUCCAGAUCAUCCUCUACUCUUCCACCAGGCUUGUUUGUUCCAUGCUAGGCAUUGUUGAGUGCCUGGCAUGUUGCACAGAAUCACAGAAACUCAAGUUGCUGUCCUGAUGGAGUUUUACAUUCUGGUAAAAGAGAGAGACACGGGGUGGGGUGUUAUGGUUUAGAUGUAGUGUCUCCCAAAAGCUCACAUGUGAAACAAUUGAAGUUUCAUAGAAAUGACUGGGUUAGGAGAGCCUUAACGCAAUCAGUGCAUCAAUCACCUGAUGGGAUUAAUUUAGUGGUAACUGAAGGCAGGUGGGGUGUGGCUAGAGGAGGUGGGGCAUUGGAGCGUGGCUUUGGAGUAUAUAUAUUUGUAUCUGAAGAGUGGAGUCUCUCUCUGCUUUGUGGUCAUCAUGUGAGCUUCUUCCCUCUGCCACACUAUCCUGCCCUGAUGUUCAGCCUCACCUUGAGCCCCCAGGAAUGGAGCAAGCCUUCUAUGGACUAAGACCUCUGAAACCGUGAGCCCUUGAAUAAACUUUUCCUCCUGUAAAAUUGUUCUGGUCAGAUCCUUUAGUCACAGCAGUUAAAAAGCUGACUAAAACACAGGGCAAACAGACACACUGAUGUAUAAUCCCAUACUGCGAUGAGUGUUAUGAAGAAAAAAUCCGGACUGCUCUGACUGUGCAUUAGGAA